rnacentral:tRNA from 1 species
GCACCCGUAGCUUAAUUGGAUAGAGCAUCUGACUACGGAUCAGAAGGUUCGGGGUUCGACUCCCUGCGGGUGUA